CAAUAGCGUAUAUUAAAGUUGUUGCAGUUAAAAAGCUCGUAGUUGGACCUUGGACCUGGACAGGCGGUCCGCCUCACGGCGUGUACUGUCUUGCUGGGUCUUUCCUCUUGGUGAUCUGUUGUUUCGGCAGCAGGGAACCAGGACUUUUACUUUGAAAAAAUUAGAGUGUUCAAAGCAGGCUCGACGCCGGAAUAUAUUAGCAUGGAAUAAUAAAAUAGGACGUGCGGUUCUAUUUUGUUGGUUUUUGGAAUCGCCGUAAUGAUUAAUAGGGACAGUCGGGGGCAUUAGUACUCACAUGCUGGAGGUGAAAUUCUUGGAUUUUGUGAAGACUAACUUCUGCGAAAGCAUUUGCCAAGGAUGUUUUCAUUAA
rnacentral:rRNA from 1 species